rnacentral:misc_RNA from 1 species
AACGCACGAGACCUGCGGACCUGCGGAGGGAUCAUUAAAGAGUUUAACUACUCAAACCAUUGUGAACCUUACCUCAACCGUUGCUUCGGCGGGCGGGCCCGGGCCAAGCCCGGCGCCCCCCCGGCCCCUCGCGGGCGCCCGCCGGAGGUUAACCGAACCCUUGAAUUGUAUGGCCUCUCUGAGUCUUCUGUACUGAAUAAGUCAAAACUUUCAGCAACGGAUCUCUAGAUCGGAAGAGCA